AGUAUUGAUGACAUCACCCUGAAGAAGGCACAGUGAUGCUGAAACGUUGGCAGCCUGGGAAAGAACUGAAAAAACUCACUAAAGAGUCAAGACAGAGACACCAGAAAGACCAAAGAAGACUUGGACGCAACAUCAGAGGACAGAGAGGGAUGUUCAGAACACACUCAGUCUGGUUAGAAGAGAAUGACUCCUCAACCCAAGAGGCCCUGGAGCAGCUGUGAUCAGGUUAGAAGAGA